CCGAUCCUUAGUAAGGGAUUUUGGUAACCGCUUUUAAAGGGGUUUUUCGAACACGUGUAAGCACAGAAAAUUUUCUAUUUUUUUUCUCUUUUCUCUCUUUUCUUUUCUCUCUGUUCUUUCUUUCUCGACUUCUCUUUUGGCGAUUGAAAGUUGAAACCGUCCUCACGGCAUCUCCUCCGGCUUCUCUGGUCUCCUCCGGCUUCUCUGAUCUCUUCACGGCGUCUCUUUUUCUCCAUUGAGAAUCACAGAAGAGAUUGAGAUGUCAACACCAGCAAGGAAGAGACUUGUGAGGGAUUCCAGGAGGUUGCUGCAAGAUCCUCCUGCUGGUAUCAGUGGUGCUCCUCUAACAACAACAUCUUGCUCUGGAACGCUGUCAUCUUCGGCCCAGAUGAUACGCCUAGGGAUGGAGUUGAACAGAACUUACAGAACCAAUGGAGUCCCAUCUAUGUAUCUCUUUCUUUGUCGACAAAGCCGUUGCUAUCAUGUUGGAUAUGAAGGUUGAUAUCAUAUAAGAUGUUCAACAGAAGUCACAAGGCGUUCAUUCAAAUCAAAAGAAGUCACGAGAUUUGUUGUAUAUAUUUGUUGUAUAUGCAAUUCACGAGUAUUGUCUGUAUGUUAGAUACAUGUUGGUUUUGGUUCUUCUCUCCUUCUCUAUAUAAAGUUGUGAUUCACCAAGCAUUUUAUUCACACAGUCUCAUUAUCUCCUUCUCACCAAACAACUUUCAUUCUUUCUUCUCACCAAACAAGUUUCAUUAUCUCUCUUUGAUCACAAAUAUUAUUCACAAAUGUUUUUUUCAGAUUAUUUUCGAUUAUUGUACUAAUCUUUAUUUUUAUGUUGUUUUUCAAAUCUAUGUUUUAAUGUUAUCUUUUAAUAUGUUUUAUUUAAUAAAUAAAUUUUAUCUUUUAAAAAAAUUAAUAAUUUUUUUCUAAGAACCUUUAACUAAGAAACUCCCAUUGGACCAUUCAAAAUAGAAGUUUCUUAACUUAAAUUCUUAGGUUAAUUUUAUUAAUUAAAAAUUAUUAAGAAACCCAUAAGAGGUGAUAGGGAUAAUCAUGCUCUAAGGAUAUAGGAGAGGUUUUUGAGAGUACUCUUAUAUUAUUCUAAGAGGGAAGAACAAAGCACACACAUUUGCUGUUUGAAGACGUUGGGAUCUGUGUUCUUAUCGAGAAAGACAUUUCUUUAAUUUAUUCACUUCUUUUCAAAAAAUAAUUUAUUUUGGGUUUUAGCCCUACAAAUCCCCACCUUCCACAUAUUAUAUGUUUUUUUGUAAAGCAUCUAUAUACAUUUCAAAGCUAAUACAUUGUUAUGGGUUAUGGCUUGACUAAUGGAUAUGAGUCAUAUGAGAUAUCAGUUCCAAUACAGCUAUCAGUAAAACACACAGAACACUUGUAGGGAGUAUCAUAUUAAAUUUUCCAAAAUAUAUCAAAAUACAUUUUAAAGUUUAUAACUUUUUUUUGUUAGGACAUUCAAACGCACUCUCGAAACAUUUUAUAAAUUGUAUUCCAUUAGGCUUUAACAUUUUUUAUAACUCAUUUCGAAACACACAAAAAGUUAAAUAUUGAAAUGAAUCGUUUUACUUAUGGUGAACAUACAUAAUACAUAUCAUUUUUUUAUCAAAACAUAAUACAUAUCAUAUUAUUUAUUUUUUGAACAUUACAUAUUAUAUUAUUGGGAAAAAGAAAUACGAAUACAAACCUAUAAACAGACAAAAGGUUAAAGAAAAGUCCAAAAUUUCUCUUCAGCGACCGUAGAAAUUACGACGAAAAUUUUGGUCACGGCUCUAAAUGACCCGACAUAUAUAACUCUGGAUCAUUUGAGCUGCAUCUUUUUAUAUCGUUAUCUUCCAAAAUCCUCAAACCAAGUGGGUCGCUACUCGUAUUUAUAUUUGAUUUUGUAAAACAUGAGACAAUAAUAUGUGUACACAAUGCUGUCUCUAUAUAUGUGACAUGUUUGUAUAUUCAGCAACAAAUUAUAUUAAGAGUUUAAUAACAUGUUGAGUUUUUUUUUUUUUUUGAUCAAAUAACAUGUUGAGUUAAGGAGAUUUUUUUGGAAAAGGACGAACUAGAUCCCAAUGCACGAAACGAAUAAAUUGUUUUCCAAUAAUAUGUAACUAGAAAGAAAUCAGUUGGUUAGAACUUAGAACAUUUUUCAUAGAUUAUAAUUUUUGGAAAACUAAGUUAUAUACGUACGUAAUGUGCAUGUGUGUGUGUAUACAUGUUACGAGUUUGAUUUUUAGGUGUACAGUGAGAACUCUAACUAGAUCUCUAUAAAGUCUUACGUACAGUAAACCUCAAACAUACGUAGGCCCUAUGAUCUCUGCCACGACCAGCUGUAACGUAGGAUAAGACACCUAUACGGCGCCGUUUUGCUGAAGAACCACCCAUCCAUCUUUAAUCACUUUGACUUAUUAUGCAUCAGAGCUUUCCAAUUUUAAAAUGGAAAUAGUUUAGUCAAUAUUGAUCAAUAUUUUGUGUUGCCGUCGGAAUAUACAAAAAAUAGUAGCCAAAUUUUUGAACAAAACAUAAAUUUGUGUAUGGAAUCGUUUUAGACGUUUUUUUUUUAAUCGUUUUAGACGUUGGUAUAUAUUUGGUUUCGUUUUUCCAUUCUUAAUUUCUUAUUGUAACUAACGCAUUUUUUGUCUUUUAAUUCCGAUUAUCUUUAUCAUCUUUCAUUAAACCUAAACUAUAAGUCUAUAACUAAGUUCGGUCACUGUACUAAUUUCAUAACUCUGCUUAUAUCGAAGCAGUUUGGUUUAUCAUUGUUAAACCUUAUAUUUUUAUACUUUUACAUUACUUUAUUAAUCUUUCAUAAGAGUAUUUCCCAGUAAUCUAAAAUUUUAAGAAAGAAAAAAAAAUUAUGCUUAUACCUUACCACUAGAAGUCUAGAAACAUUUUCUUUCUGUUGGAUAAUUUUCCUUUAAACGUAUUGUCGUCGGUCAAAUACCUGCAGCAUGCAGCAGAGGGAAUUCAAAUGAGAAUUAUAUACAACAAUUAUUAUUUCUCGACUUAGAACCGCCAUUUUUAAUGACAUAAGAGCAAACCCUAAUGGGGUUUUUCAACCAAAGGUUUUAAAAAUACAUAUAUAUGUAUUUUAAAAAGCUCAUGCUAAUAAAUCCCCAUUGGGUUUGCUCUAGCAGUCUUGAUCGAUACAGAUUUUUGUUUAUUAAAAUAAAAUAUUUGGUUAACUGAUAUUUUUUACGUUAAGACAUGUAAUAAUUUACCCCUAUCAGAUUUUAUUUAUUUAAAUGUUCUCAGUUUCUUCUGUGUUAAAAAGAUUUCUCUGAUUAAACACUUUUGAUCAAAGUUAAUAUUUGCCUAAUGAUGGAUUAAGCGGUGGUAACCUUUAAUGGACAAAAACUUUUAUUUUAAUGAUUAAAGCAUUAAAAUUAAUUAUCUUUUAAAUGAAUAUAUUAAAGGGACAAAUAAACUUUAUAUUACAUACGAUCAACUAUAAAUAUGAAUCAACUAAAAAUGAAAUCAACAUAACCUUAGAAUAAGAUAAGAGAUAUCAGGUAAAGUUAAGGAAGAAUAAUUAUUGAUAAGAUGUUUACCAAACAAUAGUAUCAUUAAAUAAUAGAACCGGAAAAGCAAUAAUUUGAGAUUACAAAAGAAAUUACGUAAGAUAAUUUUUUUUUUUUGCAUGAAAGUGAUUACAAGAGACAGAUUUUCUAGUGUGGAUGAUUUUGUUGGAAGGAAAAAAGGUAGUGGGAGCAGUUGUUUUGGAGGGAAAUCAUAUGCACGUAGAGGUCCCUCGUUCCUUCCUUUGGUUUUGGUAAUGAUUAACAAUUCCACCAAACAUCAAAAUUAAUAGUGGCUUUAUAUCCAAUUAGUUUUAGUUUUAUUGGGUCCGACUGGUAUUUUUAUGUCUUUUUCAUGAUACUUGUCUUUAUUUUUCCUUGAAUCGUAAAUGAAUUUCGAAAGUUAUAAUCAAGCCACAGAUAGCUGACAAAGAAAUAAUCAAACGACGAGAUAAACAAAAUGUCAACAUCCUCCCAAUUCGCGACUGAGAAGGCAAACGGAAAACGCCACAUGAGAUCUCUCACCAUUUACUUAUUUUCUGUUACCAGGCGAAGCAGCUGUAGAUCUUCGAGACAGAGACGACUCUUUGGCCUUAUGGUGACUUUUGAAUGACUAUUGUACCCGUGAAAUAUUCAUAGUCAUUGGUUUCGAUUAUAAAUUAAAUAGUCAUUGCAGAUUUAUAAGGCCUUAAUGAAAUGUAAUGAAAUGUGGAAGUAUAUUUAGAUAGAUACUAAGACAUACAGUUAGGCUAGAACUUAAAAUUUGGAAGAAUCUAAUGAAUACAUAUACUUUAAUUUUAUUAAUCUUAGUAGUGACGAAAAAAUAUAAACUUUGUAAUAUACUAGUAUAUAUUGUUUCAAAUUGGACGUUGUUUAUGAUUUUUUCACGCAGAUUAAUUUUUAUCUUUUUUUAUAAUUUUAAUAAUUUAUUUAAUUUAAUUAAGGAUAAAAUAGAUAAAUUAAUGUAAAAUUUGCAAUGACACUAAUUUGUUAAAAAAGGUUUUAUUAUACAACAAAAUUUAAUUAAAGAAAAAAUAUAUAACUAAAGAUGUCAUUAGAUUUCUUCAAACAUCUUAAGUUAUAGUUACAUUGAGAUUUGCACCUUAUGUUCAAGUAAGAAAUACACCAGAAUAUAGGUGUGAUUGGUAAUUUCAAGAUUUAAAAGAGGAUUGUAAAAAGAGAAAAUGAGAGAAAAAAUGUGAAAAAGGAAAAAAUAUUGUUACCCUCCUCACAUCUAGAAUAAUAAUGAAAGUGUAUUUUUCUCAAAUUAAACAGUAACUAAGAGAAAAUAUAAUUCCAAUUUAUUGAGAAUUUUAUGGAGUAAACUAGAUUUUAAAGGGCAGAAUUUUUUCAAUUUAAAAUCUAAUUUGAAUUUUUAAAUAAAUAAUAUAUUGUUGUAAGUAUUAUAAGUUUCAUUUUUAUUUUUUAUACCAACAAAUCAACUAUUGUUUGGCUUUUUAAUUGUACAAUAAAUUAUUUUAAUUAUAUUUGAGCUUGUGAAUUAAUUUUAAAUUAUUAAAACCAUAUUUUGAUUAGUUAAUUAAAUGGGCUGACCUGUGUUUCUUACCAUUUAUAUAUAUCUUUAUAUAUAAAGAAGAGUUUAAUCUCUCCUGAUGAUGCCAGCUAGGAUGCCAGCUUGGAAAUAGGAUCCCUGUAGUGAAGACACAUAGGAUCCGCACCGUUUCACUAAACUUCGCUGUUGGGCUUCGUUACGCGCUGCGGCCCAUCGAGACAGUCUUCUGCGGAAGCCCUAUCAACUGCUCCCCUCCGUGUUCUUCGUUCGUCGUCGAUCUACGAAGAGACUGUCGAGAUUCUGUAACGGCGAUUGUGGUUUAAUCGUCAACCACGUGAUUCUCACCUAUAAAAAGCCUUCAUUCGUUUAGUUUGUUCUUAUCAAGCCAACUGCUCAGUCCCGACUCCUCCCUCCUCAGCCUCAAUGUAGUUGGCCGGAGAUGUUGGAGGAAAAGACGGUUUGAAGAAUCUUCACGGUGUGUAAGUUUCCGUCGGAGUGGAGAAACACUGGAAGGGACAUGAGUCGAUUAGCCAUGUCUUGAUUGCGUCUAACCCAUACCGUAUGACGAGUGCAUCAAGGACUGUGAUAAGGCUGUUGAAAAGGAUAGAAAGCUUAGGCCUGGAAAGGAACAACUCGAAAAAGUAUCCACAGGUAGCCGCCAAGAACGGCUGGUUUUGUUGGCUCUGCUACUGCUCCGCACACCAUCUCCUCUGAUGCGCAUGUGCUCUCCUCAGAGCUGCGACCAAAGCGUUGGCGAGCGAGGGUUGAGUCUGAAACUGACUGUUUGGAUUGGUGGGAAUCCUGUUGAAGGAAACGUUGAAACAGAGCUCGAGAGCUUGGAAAUAGAGAGAAGGGUGUGCUAUUUGGCGACCAAAGGAAGUGAGAGGAUGAGAUUUGAGACAUGCCCUUCGAAAAAAAUUUGAUCUUGUGGAAGUUAAAAUCGUCGAAGUGACGUGAAGAGGAGUGACCUGAGAAUGGCCUCUCCUUUUUGCUGGUUGGAUAUUGCUUCUAAACUGAAGAAGCCUUGGUGUUAGCGUCUGGUGCACGGUAUAAACCAAUGUACGCAUCACUUUAACCCGUUAAAUCCCUUUCAAGUUUUAUCUUUGUACCCACAAACAAAACAAGGUUGAGACGUUGAAGUUUCUUUAAGCUUAAAGGAAGAAAUAGUGGUGGAGGAAGCAAACUUAAGUUAUGAAGAUAUGGUUUAGUAUGAGGAAAGUAUCGAAUAGAUGAGGGAGGGCAAGUUAUGGCUUUAUAUUGUUUGUUUCAUACUUUCGAUGUUAUUUUUUCUUUAAAUUUCUUAGUAAUUAAAUAUCAUAAAGAGCUCAGAUAUUACUGAAUACUUUUGUAAUACUAAACACUUGGCCAGUCGUUCAAAUUGUUUUACUUGGAGGAUGCAUUAAAUAACUUCACUUGAAGCAGAUAUUAGUUCUUCUGAAUUUCACUUGAAAAUUUUAUAAGAAAACCAAUUACGAGAAUACAAUAACAUUGUUGCCUUUUCACGUUUUAUCAACUCAACCAUGAUUAAAGAAAAACUUAAACUUUUCCUAUUCUAAUAAUUGAGUUUAAGUUAAGAAAAACUAAGAUACUGAGAAAAAGAAAAAAAACAAUUUACACACUAUCAAAACAAAUGAAAAAAUAAAAUAUACAACAUUAAACAUAAAAUGGAAAAUAAUUUCAUGAUAUAAACAAGAGACUAAAUUUAUUGUAUCUAAAUAGAUGUAUUUAAAAAAUUUCAUGAAAAAAUAUCUUCCUAGCUAAUCUCGAAUGGCACAUAGAAACAAUUAUGAAUUCUUUCCCUGAUAAUCUGAAAUUCUGUGUUUAAUGUUAAGAUCAAGCAAGAAAUAGUCUAGAAAUCCUUAUAUUUGUUCAUAAUAAACAAUAUAGCUUAUUUUAUCUGAACCAAGUAUCACCUAACAAUAAACUUUAAAAAUAAAACCGAUGAAUAUCAGGAACAUGUCCUAACCCUUGAACACUAUGUCCAAUCCAAUUGGAUAUCUAAUGUUUUGAUUGCCAGUUUUUCAUCAAAGGUGAGAUUCUCUUUUUGGAAAAUUAUUCAAAGGCCUUACAACUGGCGAGAAUCUCAAAAAGAAUCGUAUACAUUAGUUGUUAGAUACAAAUUAUUCAACAAUGACAUAACAAUAUUGUCGUCGCAAAAAGUCAAAACAAAAAUUACUUACAAACAAAAGAUACAUGAACCAUUUUCUUGAGUUUUUUCUUCUUUUUUUGUGUCUUUCAUUCACAUCUCUUGCAAAUAUGAACCUAAAAUACCAACCACAAAAUUAUAUAAGAAAACAAUAAUCUAGAUCACAAAUAAAUCAUAUCCCGCCCGUAGGGCGGGCCGACUCUAGUUUCAUAUAUAAAUAUGUGAUUGUUACCAUCUAGCUAAAAUUGUUAUCAUUUAGUUUAUUGAUUGUUACUAUUAAUACCUAUAACAAGAUACUAUUAUUUAUUUAUUGAAAGGUUUUAUAACAAUAUAAUGUAUGUUUUUAAACAAAUGUUUUAUAAUGAUGUAUUGUUACCAUAUAAACAUUAAUAUCUUAUUAAAAAUUGUAAAACAUUAAAGUUGGCCCAAAGUGAUUAAAUAUGAAAAAUGGUUGUUAAAAAUUCCAGAUGGAUCUUCUUGUAGUAAAUAAAGAGGACCGUGUGAGAUCCAGUUUUGUUAUAGUUAUGCUUUUCUAAAUUUUUCAGAGUAUUACGAUAUUACCGAACCAGUAAUUUAUGUACCGUGUAAUUAUCAAUGAUGUAUACUUUGAAGUCCUAAAUGCUACAGUAGAAAUAUAUAGUAAUUCAGUUGAAAUAAUUUUUUUUGUCAACGAAAUAAUUAAAUUUAUUAACCAUAAAUAUAAAAAUGACAUAGAAUUGUAAAUAAGUUUAAAAUGCAUGAGCAUAAUUCUAUUACAAGUUUUACUUUAAUAGUAUAGAUGAUAUAAAUAAUUUUUUCACUUACUUUGCUUACUCUGUUAAUGCUGUACAAUCUAAUUCUUUUUUUUUUUACUUAGAUAGUAAUUCAUAUUUUUCACUUAACAUCACCAAUCGCUUAAAACAAAUUUAUACAUGUUAAUUCCCUCAGAAUCACGACAUUUGCUUAAAUAAUUACAGCCACACAAAUCCACGAAUAACAUUCUGGUCCAGCUUUUUGGGUAUGGAUUUGAAUAAAACUAGCUCUAUCUAAGAAUCUACAAUCAAGUGCAACAUAUAGAACUAUCCAUAAAAGCAGAAACAUUUGGUUGGUUAUGUCAUCUAUAUUAAUGUUAUAACCCAUUUAAAUGGAUAAUUUCAAUUAAAAAGUAUAUAUCGUAUCUCAUAUGAACACAUGUACAAAAAAGUUGCUCGCAGGGAUCAAUGUUUAAGCUUUUAGAAAUUAGGACCACUGUUAUUUACAUAAUUACCCGAACAAGACAGAAAUGCAGGAGAUUUUGCAUGUAUGGUGAAAGAGAAAGGAGAAACACAAUAAUAGACAAAUCAUUAAAAUCAAGAUAAAUAAUUAAAUUAAAUCUUACAUACAUCUAACACUAUUAAAAAAAGGAGAAUAAGAAACCUCCUAAACUACGCCACCUCAGCAAAAAAUUCACAACCUAUCAAAUUGCCAUGUCAUCAUAAAUAACAAAAAAAAUUCAUGUCAUCACAAAUAACAAAAAAAAAAUUCUUUUACGUCAAUUUAUUAUUUUGCGAUCUAUCUUUUCGUUUUCUUCCUCAAAUCAAUUUAUCCCUUUAAUAUUCAUCUUCUCAAUCCUAGGCGGAUCUGAUUCCGAUCUAUGUUUCUCUGUUACUUGAUUCGAUUACUCUGUUACUAUGUUCUUUGUUACUGUUACUUGCUUUGUCUCAUCGAUCAUUAACGAUCGUGAGCGGGAAGAUCAAGGGGAUUCAGAUUCGUGACCUUCAAGGAUGAGAAAUCGAUGAGGGAUGCUAUUGAUGAGAUGAACGGAAAGGAGCUCAACGGACGUACCAUCACCGUCAACGAGUCUCAGUCUAGAGGAAGCGGCGGUGGAGGAGGCCGUGGUGGAGGUGAAUACGGUGGCCGUGGAGGUGGCGGUAUGACACUUUUAGCUUUUCCGAUUUAUUAACGGUUGAUUCAUAUAUAAGAUUGAACGAUGGCCAAAUUAGAUUCUCACUUUCUCUCGCUAUUAGAUUUCUGGAUUAUGAUCGUAUUGGUUUCAACCCCCAAAAUCAAUGCGUGGAAGGAUUCAUAUUUGUUAUCCUCAUGUAAUUUUAAGUUAGUUCUCUCAUUAUUGUAUCUUUUCGCAUGAACAUUGUAAUUGAAAGUGAGUAUGUAUGUCUUUUUUGUAGAUUGUGGAUCUCUGGAUCAACAUGGGUUUUGCAAGGGACAAAAUCUGGAUAAUCGAUGACAAUCUAACUUUACGAGUUCUUAAAAUCAUCAUUAGUUGAUCUUCAUCUCAAACCAUCAGAAGAGGACUUAAAGCAAUGGUCUGACAGGUAAAAGUAAAACCAUCAUCAUCCUUUUAUGUUCUUUAUCUUUAUAGAUUCUGAAUUUUAUAUGUGUGUUUCCUUUUUGAGUUAUGGGUUUCACUUGCUAUAGAUGGCCACUCAACAUUGAUUUCUUUAGAACAUCAAUGGAAAACCCUUCAGAUUCUUAUUUGCAUAUAUCAAACUUACCUUGCUGUCUUAGAUAUAAGGUUGUUUGUACUCUUUAUAAAAUAUAUAUUAUCAGCAAAAUAUUCUGUGUUUAAUGAAUAUUCUACGUGAAACUUCAGAUUUAUUAUUUACUCAAGUAACUUCAUCUGUUAGGGUUUUUUUUAACAAUAAGUCCUCAGGCAGAAGACACAAUAUAUAUAUAUAUUCACUUUGUAGUGUGAUGUAAUACAGUCUCUUGCAUCAUCAAAAUCUAAUAAAAUUUGAAGAUUUACAAUUUUUGUAUUGAUGAUCUACUCACUAACAAAAUUUGUAUUUGCUUAUUUCUUUCGGGUUUAUGAGUCACACCGGUGAAGUGUGAGAAGAGUUUGGAUGGUCGUUGUCGUCCUCCACAGAGGUUUUGGUAGAAGAGAUGAGGACAGCGGAGCGACAGAGAGGGCAAGUGGUGUGAGAACAGAGCCAAAGGUGAAUACAAUCAAAAUGAAAUAUGUGUUUGCAUGAAGGCAUUUCCACCAACUCUUCCUUUAACUCAAAUUCUCACAAACAUACGCAACAUCUGCACCAAUUUUUCAUUAAAUUAGUCAAACUUUAGAUUUACCAAAACAAGCAACAACCAAAGAUAAUAUUAAACACAAAGACAUGAAACUAUAUAAUAUAUUUAAAUUAGGAUUGAUUUUAUAUAUAUCUUGAUUUUUGUCUAAAAUCUUGAUUUUGGUCUUAUCUAGAAAGUUGUUCAAAAAUUAAGGUCUUAUAUUUAAAAGGCAUCUCAAUUCGUAUAUUUCAACUUCCAAUAGGAUCAUUCUCAGACAUCUCAAUUCGUAUAUCAACUAUGUUAACAUAAUUAUUUAAAAGAAUCUUGGUAAUUAAAGUUCAGCCUCAUGAGAAUUCAUAAAUGGUAAGAUUAAAUAUGCCACGUAGAAGAUUUGAUAGAUUCAUACGAAUACGAAGACGCUGGAACCCUAUGUUCAUAGGUGAGGUGAAGGAAGUAAAGUAACUUCAGAGAAUCUCCGCUUUGUAAGAAACAAAGGGGUAAACUAUAUUGUUUUCAAGUUACCAUUAAACAAGUUUUGUAUUUGAUAGACAUAUAAUUGUUUUUCGAUCCAUAAGAUCUGAGUAUUAUAAAAAUGUUAUAGAAAAUUAAUCUGGGCGUAGCCCGGAAAAGGUCCUAGUAUGUAUAAAUGUCUGUGUAAGAGAGAAAAGAGAGAUAUUUAUUAAUGUUGUUUGACCAAAAAAAAAGAAAUAUUUACUAAUAUCGACGUUUGAUGGCAAGGGUAGAUUGGGAAUAUAAGGUAUAGAAUCCAACACGAAAUCUAAAAUUAGAUUUUGCAUGCAGAGAAAUUCAUAAUACACAGAGAAGAUUAGAGAGCGGAGACAGCGACCAAGCAUGUCUUCUCAUUUUUUAUAGUUUUAUAUUAAGAUUCGCAUGCUUACAAAGAAAUAAAUAGCCCAUUGGGCCUUUUCCAAUAUGUAUUUAAUUACUUAUUAGUUAUUACAGACAAUACUAUUGAAGUAUUGAGUUUGAUCUGAUGUUUCCGGAAGGGACUGAUAUAUUGAUGUAUCUUCUUUUCUCUUGUUUUUUGUAUUAUGUAUGCCAUGUCUGAUCUAGCUUUAGGCCACUAACGACACUUUUUACUUAAUUCAACUACAGUAAAUUUACAGCUUUUGGUACAGCUCUAGUCUCAAAACCUGCGAGCUUGGUAGACUUUUAACUUUAAGGGCACUAAAACUAUUUUAUAAUAUUAUAUAUAUUAAAUUUUUUAUUUAUCAUUUAUUUAAUUGUAUGUUUUAGUAAUAAAAUAAGUGAAUAGUAUUUUAGUGGGAUUAAUAGUGUUUUAGUGUAGUGAAUAGUGUCACACCAAAUUUGGUGUCAAAUUUUAGUGUUGCACUAAAAUGGUGUGAUUUUUGCAGUUCUAUUAGAGAGGAUUUGGUGUAAAAAUAACACUAAAAUAGUAUUUUGCAGUUCCAUUGGAGAUGGCCUAAGUGCUAAUACUGGUGAAACAACUACAAAGAAUUACAAAAAUUGAGGUUAUAUAAUUGUAGGUUGUUAUUAUUAUACGAGUAUUUAGAAGUUGUAAAAUUGUUUUUGUAGGUCUGAAAUGUCAUAGUCCAAUAUGUCACGUCACAUCUGAAUCCUUAUGUCAUUCUCUCUUUAUUCUGCAUAGCCAAUUAACCAUGGAUUGGAUCCAUCCUUUGGCGUCACCUUGACUUGUUUGUAUUCAAAAACUAUUCAGUAAGUUAUUAGAUUCACUCACAUUUACUAUGAAUGAAGACAAAAUUGGAGUAUUUUCUUUAUACAGCCCACCUACGUCGUAUAUAGUAUACAUACAAAAAGGUCAUAGCUAUAUUCCACUCCGUUGAAAAGAGAAACUCUUUUUACUUUGUUUUUCGAAAAGAAACUCUGUAAUCAAAAUUCUAAUUUUGUUUUAAAACGUUAUUGGUCAGAUAUUAUUUCGCAAAAAUUGACAAAAAGACACUCAGGGUAUCUAAAGCUAACCAUGCUCUCUAAGGGUAACAAAAUUGUGAUUUAUAACGUCGCCACGUCGAAUUAGAAUCUUCUAGGUGUUAUGAUAUUCUAACUCCAAAUUUUUGGAACAAGCUUUGAUUACCGCAAAUCAAAGAAUAGUAUGAGGAUUUUGAAUUUUCAUAUGUUUUCUAAUGUUCAUAUCUCUCGCUUAUCCUGAUUAUAACGACAAAAUUAAUCCGAACGAAUAUUCAUAUAUCAGAGAAAAUUCGAAAACUCUAAUAAACUGGGAAGGCGCCUCAUCCCUUUUGAAUUGUCUUCAAAAUAUUCUUGUAUUCUUAUAUUUUAUUUACACUGUUUAUUGGCUUUGGCUUUUCAUGAAAAGGCAAUAAGAAUGAGACCAAAGAGAGGGCUUUGUGCCUGGUUUUACCCUUUUUGUUUAUUUAAAUUAUAAUAAAUCAAAAUAAAAAUAGCAAAUAGUUAGAAUAUGGAAUGUACUGAAUAUGACAGCCAUUCAUUUUUUUCAUUCUGCGUUAUUAAUAUUUUAUAAAAUUGUCAAUCAAUGUUUUAAUUUAUUGUGGACAGGUUGGAUCAUUUGUUAAAGUUCGUAUAUAUAGAAAGUUCUGCAAUCCAUAUUUAUAGUUCGUAUAUAUAGAAAGUUCUGUUGCGUGUGGAGUUAAAUAAAGUAACUGCAAAGAUGAAUUUCAUUGAGAAUUGUAAUUUUAGAAACUAAAAUUACAGUAAGACACAAUGAAUAAUAGUUUUCAUAUCCAUUUUAUUGGUGGCAUCUUUUCCGAACUGAACACAAGUUUGAUAUUAUAUCUAAUUGUUGUUGAUAUAACUCAAAAACCAAUACUUAACGAUAGUUUGUAUUUUUUUUAAUGAAAUUUUGUUUUGAGGAAACGUCAAAAAAUGUUAUUGAGAAAUAGUAUCGCUGUUUAUAUGCUUGCUUAGCUCAUUGUGGAACUUGGUUAUGAAAGAUUUAGCACCUUUUAAUUUAUUGGGUCGUCACUCCAUCCAAAAUACCUUUGUAUCUCUCCUUUAACGGGCCAUUUCUAAUUUUAUAUCGAGAGGUAUGUUUAAAAGGCCUUUGAAAACCAGAGUUAAUAUAUUCACUAUCCAUUGUGCCUUAAUUUUUUUUAUCUACUGAUAAAUUUAUUAAAGAAAGAGGAUAAGGUUAGUGUGGGCAUGAGUCCAACAGUAGUAAUCUGUUAUAAAAUGAGGUUUUUGCCAAAGAGUCUGCAUGCCCAUUAGAAGAUUUAGAGAUGAAAGAUGCGUGAAAAGUAAAGAAAGAGGAAACAAUAAGCGAUUCAAUGUCAGAUAUCACCCCAAAAAAUUCUACCAAUCUUUGAUCCAUGAUGCGUGACGAACAUAUCCCCGGUUGAGUUCUUCUCCUGCUUGUUUCGUGAAGAUCUAAGCCAAACCCGCCACUUUGGAGUCUUUGUUCCAAGCUGCGUCUGUGUAACAGAAGAUAGUAGCCGGCGAUGCAAUCUGGAUCGAGAUUUGCGGGGGAGGGAUGCUUAUUGGUUGAGCGCUCGGGGUUGGGCAUGUUCCCAUUCCUUCAGUAGUGCAAUCGAUUUGGAGAGGAUUUCCAUCGAUGUAUAUUGCUUAUUCUCGAAGGUGAAAAGGUUUUUGUUGAUCCACAAGCUCCAACAAAUCCAAGCAAAGAUAUUAUCCAAGGUUCCAAUUGGAGGCAUGUUUACCUUUGUAAGCGAGGAUUGUAAGGUGGUUUUGAAGGAGGAGCAAGCCAGAGGGUUCAGCGGAGCAGUCCAAGGGCAUAGAUCCCAAACUGCUUUGGCUGGUUCGCAGUGGAAGAGUAUGUGUUCCAAAGUUUCCUCGGCUCCACACCAUGCGCAUAGGAUGAAAGAGUCCCAUGCGCCUGUGGUGCUUGGUCGGAUGGAGAAGAUAAACUCUGUUAGCUGUGGGGAGAGCUUUGUAACAAAGCUUUGUUCCAUUCCUUUGUUUCUCUAGAUAUGAGGUUUGAGACCAUCAAGUAUUGAUCUUGGGGGAGGACAGGGCCCGUAGGGAGUACAUCAGAUGACGGGUUGAUCCAAGAGUCAGACCAGACCCUUGUGAUUUCACCAUCUCCUAUGACUUUUCCUAGGUGUUAUUACCAUUGUGCCUUAAUUUAAAAGGCAUUUAGUGGAUCACUCUUGUAUUGUUAAUAUAAGAAUAAAACGAAAAUAAAAUUUAUAACAUAUGCAUAUGUAA